rnacentral:rRNA from 1 species
AGAGUUUGAUCCUGGCUCAGAAUCAACGCUGGCGGCGUGCCUAACACAUGCAAGUCGAACGAGAAAGUGGAGCAAUCCAUGAGUAAAGUGGCGCACGGGUGAGUAACACGUGACUAACCUACCCUUGAGUGGGGGAUAACUGAGGGAAACCUUAGCUAAUACCGCAUAAUACCCACGGGUCAAAGGAGCAAUUCGCUCGAGGAGGGGGUCGCGGCCGAUUAGUUAGUUGGCGGGGUAAUGGCCCACCAAGACGAUGAUCGGUAUCCGGCCUGAGAGGGCGCACGGACACACUGGAACUGAAACACGGUCCAGACUCCUACGGGAGGCAGCAGUGGGGAAUUUUGCGCAAUGGGGGAAACCCUGACGCAGCAACGCCGCGUGGAGGAUGAAGUCCUUCGGGACGUAAACUCCUUUCGAUCGGGACGAUUAUGACGGUACCGGAAGAAGAAGCCCCGGCUAACUUCGUGCCAGCAGCCGCGGUAAUACGAGGGGGGCGAGCGUUGUUCGGAAUUAUUGGGCGUAAAGGGUGCGUAGGCGGUUUGGUAAGUCUUUUGUGAAAUCUCUGGGCUCAACUCAGAGUCUGCAGGAGAAACUGCCGGGCUGGAGUGUGGGAGAGGUGGAGUGGAAUUUCCGGUGUAGCGGUGAAAUGCGUAGAUAUCGGAAGGAACACCUGUGGCGAAAGCGGCUCACUGGACCACAACUGACGCUGAUGCACGAAAGCUAGGGGAGCAAACAGGAUUAGAUACCCUGGUAGUCCUAGCCCUAAACGAUGACUGCUUGGUGUGACGGGUACCCAAUCCCGCCGUGCCGUAGCUAACGCGUUAAGCAGUCCGCCUGGGGAGUACGGUCGCAAGGCUGAAACUCAAAGGAAUUGACGGGGGCCCGCACAAGCGGUGGAGCAUGGGGUUAAUUCGACGCACGCGAGGAACCUUACUG